GAUGGGUUUGUCUGGUCAUGGCGGAAACACACGCUGUGAUGACUUCCCAUUUGUCUGCUUGUGCCCAGCAAAGUUUAUCAGUGUUGAUGAGAAGAACCGAGCUGCCGGUGCGUGAGACCGGAGAACAGGAAUCCCGACGCGGUGCUCGUCCGGGUGAAAGAGACCAAACACCUGUAAGCGCCCUACUCUGGCAGAAAAAACCUCCCCGGAGACAGGACAAGAGCUAACCCCGCCCCCCCCACACGGCCCCCGUAGUACUUGUAAACAGGUACGCCCACGAUGACGACGCAGACGGCAAAGUCCCAGCGACACCUGGUGGAGAUUCGGGAGGAAGAAGGGACGUCAUCGCCGUGUCACAUGACCACUAGAUGGCCUCGUCAGUUUGAGCUGACUGCAUGUAGAUGCUUCAUGAUAGAAGUCUGUAAACCGAAGUCAACGUUCCCGAAGGAUGAAUGGACGUUUAGAUGAUGUUGAUUAGAUAAGUAUUGUGUAUUUAGGCUACUGCUAACAUAUACAAAUAAUGAUGUGAUGCAGUGGUGGAAGAAGACAUCAGCAGCUUAACAUCAGUAAACGUAACACCUGAAUGUAAAUGUAACCAUUGCAGAUUGACCAGUAAAAGCCUUGUAUUCAUAAAGGUAUUAUAAGAAAAUAAGCUUUAAAUAAAAUCCUCCUUCUUUUAUUGAUGAAUUAAGUAGCAUUGUAAUGGUAUCGCUGGUCAAAGUGGAGCGAUAUAGACGGUUCUAUACUUGAUGUUUGACCUAGCAUAUGCAGUGUUUUAAAUCUCUAAUAUCACACCAUAGACGCCUUUUCUUUUUUAGCUCGGCCUACAGCGAGCUAAAACUGAAAUAAAAGACAAAAGGAGUUGAGUAUACG
ensembl:lncRNA